CUGAAACAGGAAUUGCUUCUGGACCAGUGUUGUUUACAUCUUGUGAAAUGGUCUAUAACUAAUAAUUCAAUUUGCACUUGCCUGACUUCUCUCAUCUCCGAAGAUCAGGGACAUGUAAGUUGACUCUUAAACUGUGUAAAUUGUGAAAUCCUGGUGCUCUUCACUUUACAAUAUUAAGUAGUUCAUGUAUUUCCAUUUUCAUGCGUUUUUGGUGAAGUUUGCUUUGUCUUAUAUUUCCACACAUGUGUGUGCUGUUUUAGUUCAGAGACCUUCAAGCUAGCGGCUAAUUCCGAAAAGCAGCAAAUCUAAAAUUUGCACCCUUGGUGAGCGGAGUAAGGAUUGGUCCUGGAUCUAACAACACGCUGAUUUUGAUUGGAUCAGAGGAGAGGCCUGGACCAUAAAUUCCCUGGAAUACCACUAGAGGGGGCGCUCUGCCAUUGAUUGCAACUGGGGUUGUACUGUGUGUUUGCGCUCUGUGAAAAUGUAGCACAAUCGUGUGAUUAAUGUGCUAUUGUAUGGUUUCUUUGAUCCUGAGUGAUUUGUGCUAAAACGCCAGUGUUGAUGAUCUCAUCUGUAUGUGUAUGAUUAUUUGAGAAGCCGUAGGGGGUGAGUACCUUGUUUCUUUUGUAGGCUGAAAGGCCUUUGUUUUUCUCCUGUUUAUUGGUAGUUAAGGAGGUAGGGUAUUUCAUUGUAUGUUUUGUUUUCUUUUAUUUUAAUUCAUAGGUAAGGUAGUUUCUUUGGGGAAAGCUAGUUCUGUUUGGUUUAUUAUUUUGGCAUUAGCUCACCCCUGAAGAUCUUGCUUCUAAUCUUUUUCCUGUUUGUUUUCUUUGUUAAUUUAUUUUCCAGAUAUUGUUUUGGUGAAUGAUAAGAAAUGCUGCUUUUGAAACAAAUCCAGAAUGAUAAUAAAUUCAAGCUAACUGAA